rnacentral:lncRNA from 1 species
CUGUAGAAGCCCGGACAGAAACUUUCUGUUGGAGAAAUCUGGCUGGAGUCCGAUUGCUAGAGAAGUUUGUUUGAAAUUUAUCUGAUGUAGAAGAUUGUCUGAAGAUUGUCUGAAGAUUGUCCGUUGGAGAGGUUCGGUUGCAUGAGGAAUCCGACAGAAGGUCGAUCGAUAGCGAAAUUCGGAAGGCGCUAUAGAAGGUUGACCGACAGAAGAGUCCAGAAGGCUUUAUGGAAGUUCAUCUGCUGGAGGAGUCUGGUUGGCAUUGUUGAAGUCCGAUUGGUACUGUUGAAGAUUGAUGGCUGGAGAGGUAUGGAAGACACCAGAGACAAUCGAUCACCAUAGAAAUCUGACUGUUGGAGCCCAUCCGUUGUAGAAGUUCGUCUGGAAUCCAAUUCUGUUGUAGAAGUUCGGAUGGAGUCCGAUUCUUGUAGGAGUCCGGAAGGAGGCUGCUUGCUGUAGAAGUUCGGAUGGAGAUCGGUUGCCGUGGAAGCCCGGAUGGAGACCGCUUAUUGUAGAAGCUCGGACGAAGUCCACUUAUCGUAGAAACUCAGAUGAAGUCCGCUUGCAAUAGAGGUUCGGACGGAAUUCGCUUACUAUAGAAGCUCGGAUGAAAUUUGAAAGGCGAUCAACCACUGUAGAAACUUGGAUGGAGUCUGGUUACUAUAGAAGUCCUACUGCUGGAGAAGCUCGGACAUUGACGAAGUCCGAAAGAAGCUCGGAGUAAAGUCGAUCGUGACAAGA